AAGCAAUAGCUGUGUAAAAAUGAAGUUCUAUUUUUGUGGAAUCGUGGCUACAAUUUUGCUGCUGAUGGGCCAGCAGAAUAUGGUGGAGGCAGGACCAAAGGUUUAUCCCGGAGGACUUAGGUUACUACAAGAUUAGGUUCCGUCACAAUAGAAAAAAAAACCUCUACCGCAAGAGACAUGGGUUUUUGAAAAUAAUUAAAAAUGUAUUUUCUUUUUAAAUUACUUGUUAAAAGCAUUAAAGGAAAUUAUAUAAGAAAGAAAAUGUUCACUCUUA